rnacentral:rRNA from 1 species
CCUACGGGAGGCUGCAGUGAGGAAUAUUGGUCAAUGGGCUUACGCCUGAACCAGCCAAGUCGCGUGAGGGAAGACUGCCCUAUGGGUUGUAAACCUCUUUUGUCAGGGAGCAACGCCGGCUACGUGUAGCCGGACUGAGAGUACCUGAAGAAAAAGCAUCGGCUAACUCCGUGCCAGCAGCCGCGGUAAUACGGGGGAUGCGAGCGUUAUCCGGAUUUAUUGGGUUAAAAGGGGGCGUAGGCGGAAUGCCAAGUCAGCGGGAAAAUCGCGGGGCCCAACCUCGCUCCGCCGUUGAAACUGGCGUUCUUGAGUGGGCGAGAGGUAUGCGGAAUGCGUGGUGUAGCGGUGAAAUGCAGAGAUAUCACGCAGAACUCCGAUUGCGAAGGCAGCAUACCGGCGCCCAACUGACGCUGAAGCACGAAAGCGUGGGUAUCGAACAGGAUUAGAUACCCUUGUAGUC